AACGAACGCUGGCGGCGUGCCUAACACAUGCAAGUCGAGCGGGAAAGUUCCCUUCGGGGAGCGAGUACAGCGGCGAACGGGUGAGUAACACGUAGGUAACCUACCCUGGAGAUCGGGAUAACCUGACCGAAAGGCGGGCUAAUACCGGAUAAGACCACGAGGGCUGCGGCCCUUGAGGAAAAAGAUGGCCUCUGCUUGCAAGCUAUCACUCUGGGAUGGGCCUGCGCGCCAUUAGCAGUUGGUGAGGUAACGGCUCACCAAGGCUGAGAUGGCUAGCUGGUCUGAGAGGAUGGCCAGCCACACUGGGACUGAGACACGGCCCAGACUCCUACGGGAGGCAGCAGUGGGGAAUAUUGCGCAAUGGGCGAAAGCCUGACGCAGCGACGCCGCGUGGGUGA
rnacentral:rRNA from 1 species